AUUGAACGCUGGCGGCAGGCCUAACACAUGCAAGUCGAGCGGAUGAAGGGAGCUUGCUCCUGGAUUCAGCGGCGGACGGGUGAGUAAUGCCUAGGAAUCUGCCUGGUAGUGGGGGAUAACGUCCGGAAACGGGCGCUAAUACCGCAUACGUCCUGAGGGAGAAAGUGGGGGAUCUUCGGACCUCACGCUAUCAGAUGAGCCUAGGUCGGAUUAGCUAGUUGGUGGGGUAAAGGCCUACCAAGGCGACGAUCCGUAACUGGUCUGAGAGGAUGAUCAGUCACACGGGAAAUGAGACACGGUCCAGACUCCUACGGGGGGCAGCAGGGGGGAAUAUUGGACAAUGGGCGAAACCCUGACCCAGCCACGCCGGGGGUGGGAAGAAGGUCUUCGGAUUGUAAAGCACUUUAAGUUGGGAGGAGGGGCAGUAAGUUAAUACCUUGCUGUUUGGACGUUACCAACAGAAUAAGCACCGGCAAACUUCGU
rnacentral:rRNA from 1 species